rnacentral:rRNA from 1 species
GACGAACGCUGGCGGCGUGCUUAACACAUGCAAGUCGAACGAAGUGGCGCACGGGUGAGUAACGCGUAAUCAACCUGCCCUUCAGAGGGGGAAAACAGUUGGAAACGAUUGCUAAUACCGCAUACUGAAGGAGGGGAUUGCGUCUGAUUAGCUAGUUGGAGGGGGAACGGCCCACCAAGGCGAUGAUCAGUAGCCGGUCUGAGAGGAUGAACGGCCACAGUGGGACUGAGACACGGCCCAGACUCCUACGGGAGGCAGCAGUGGGGAAUCUUCCGCAAGGGACGAAAGUCUGACGGAGCAACGCCGCGUGAGUGAUGACGGCCUUCGGGUUGUAAAGCUCUGUUAAUCGGGACGCGGUACCGGAAUAGAAAGCCACGGCUAACUACGUGCCAGCCGCCGCGGUAAUUC